AUUGAACGCUGGCGGCAGGCCUAACACAUGCAAGUCGAGCGGAUGAAGGGAGCUUGCUCCUGGAUUCAGCGGCGGACGGGUGAGUAAUGCCUAGGAAUCUGCCUGGUAGUGGGGGAUAACGUCCGGAAACGGGCGCUAAUACCGCAUACGUCCUGAGGGAGAAAGUGGGGGAGCUUCGGACCUCACGCUAUCAGAGGAGCCUAGGUCGGAUUAGCUAGUUGGUGGGGUAAAGGCCUACCAAGGCGACGAUCCGUAACUGGUCUGAGAGGAUGAUCAGUCACCCUGGAACUGAGACACGGUCCAUGCUCCUACGGGAGGCAGCAGUGUGGAAUAUUGGACAGUGGGCGGAAGCCUGAUCCAGCCAUGCCGCGUGUGUUAAGAAGGUCUUCGGAUUGUAAAGCACUUUAAGUUGGGAGGAAGGGCAGUAAGUUGAUACCUUGCUGUUUUGACGUUACCAACAGAAUAAGCACCGGCUAACUUCGUG
rnacentral:rRNA from 1 species